rnacentral:lncRNA from 10 species
CGGCAGCGCGGAAGGCCAGCCUGCAGAGAGGCUGGGCCCAGCGCCCUGACUGACCCAGCCCCGCCACGUCCAAGGUUCCCGCCCUCUGGAGGAAGCCGCGCAAUCACUCCGGGGGCGGGGAGAGACAGACAACUGAGAGGAAGGAGGUACCACGGGCACUCUCUCGCGAGAGGGCCGCAGAGCCGCCUUUGACGGGGGCGUGUACCUGGAGAGCAACGGAGCCUAUGAGGUUGGUCCUAUUUUUACUCUCACUUAUCCCUACUUACCAGAUGAGGAUCCUGAGGCUCAGAAAAACUCUUGACAAAAUUCUCAGGGAAAACUCUUCAGCUCUGGAUGUCUCCCUUUUUGUGGAUCAAACACAAAGGGCAUCAUUCUAAAAUAUAUACAGAACCAUAAAAGCCCCAAAUAGCCAAAGCAACCCUGAGCAAAAAGAACAAGGCUGGAAGCAUCACACUACCAGACUUCAAAAUUUACUACAAAGCUCUAAUACCUAAAAUAACAUGGUACUGGCAUUAAAAAAAAAAAAAAAAUAGGCACAUAGACCACCAAUGAAACAGUAUAGAGAAUCUAGAUAUACCAACUCAUCUUUAACAAAGGUGCCAAGAACAUACAAUGAGGAAACGAUGGUCUUUUCAAUAAAUGGUGUGGGGGAAAGCUAGAUAACUAUAUGCAGAAGAAUGAAACAAGAUUCCUCUCUCUCGCUAUACACAAAAAUCAAAUCAAAAUGGAUUAAAGGCUUAAAUCUAAGACCUGAAACUACAAAACUAGAAGAACACACUGGAGAAGUGCUCCAGGACCUUGGUCUGGGAAAAGAUUUUUUUGUUUAAGACCUCAAAAGCACAGACAACAAAGCAAAAACAGACAAAUGAGAUUACAUUAAGCUAAAAAGUUUCUGCACAGCAAAGGAAACACUCAACAGAGUGGGGGAGACAACCCACAGAAUGAGAGAAAACAUUUUCAAACUAUCCAUCCGACAAGGGAUUAAUGACCAGAAUAAAGAGACCAAACAAUUUAAGCCAAAAACAAAACAAACAAACACACAAAAAAAACAAAAGCCAAAUAAUCUAAAAAGUGGGCAGGUUGGGUGGGGUGGCUCAAGCCUAUAAUCCCAGCACUUUGGGAGGCCAAGGCAGGCAGGUCAAGAGAUCGAGACCAUCCUGGCCAACAUGGUGAAACCCCAUCUCUACUGAAAAUACAAAAAAAAUUAGCCGGGUGUGGUGGCAUGUGCCUGUAGUCCCAGCUACUUGGGAAGCUGAGGCAGUGAGAAUCGCUUGAACCUGGGAGGCAGAGGUUGCAGUGAACCAAGAUCACACAACUGCACUCCAGCCUGAUGACAGAGCGAGACUCCAUCUUGAAAAAAAAAAAAAAAAAAGUGGGCAAAAGAUCCAAACAGACAUUUCUCAAAGGAAGACAUAAAAAUGGCCAACAGGUAUAUGAAAAAAUGCUCAACAUUACUAAUCAUUAGAGAAAUGCAAAUUAAAACAACAUGUUAUUUCACCCCAGUUAAAAUGGCUUGUAUUAAGAAAACAGAUAAUAACAGAUGCUAGUGAGGAUGUGGAGAAAAGAGAACCCUCAUACACUGUUGGUAGAAAUGUAAACUAGUACAACCACUAUGAAGAACAGUAUGGAAGUUCUUCAAAAAACUAAAAAUAGAAUUACCAUAUGAUCCAGCAAUUCCACUACUGAAUAUGUAUCCAAAAGAAAGGAAAUCCGUAUAUCAAAAAGAUAUCUGCACUCCCAUGUUUAUUGCAGCAUUGUUCACAAUAGCCAAGAUAUGGAAUUAACCUAAGUGCCCAUCAAUGGGUGAAUGGAUAAAGUGUGGUGGAUGGAAAGCCGAUUUCCAGUCUUUAUGAUAACGCCGAUGUUCCACUUGGGAAAGAUACUGUACAACAAUGAAAGUAGCCCUUUCUUUUGUCUUUCAAAGAAUGUAUUUUUAACAAACAGCCUCUGUGUGAUCCUUUUGACCACACAAUUUGUAGAGUUAACGCUGAAAUUUUCAUUAGCAACAAUGAAAGCACACACAGGCACAAUAUUAAUAUAGAUUAAUAUCAGCCUAUUUUGGUCAGAAAGGCUCAUUUAAAUGUUUAAGAGACAGAAGUCCCAAAUUGUAGUAAUUUCUUCCACUAGCAGGAGGAAGCUCAGAAUUAGUUUUUCUACAACACUAGAGGAAUACUACUCAAAAAUAAAAAGGAAUUAACCAUUGAUACAUGCAACAACACAGAUGAAUCUCAAAGUAAUUGUGCUGAAAGAAACCAGACCCAGAAAAAGAUAAAUUCUAUAUGAUCUCAUUUAUAUAAGACUCUAGGAAAUGCAAACUAAUCUACACAUACAGAAAACUGAGGGCAGGUACUGAGAAGGGUAGGAGGGGGGCGUUACAGAGAGGCAUGAGGAAACUUUUUGGGGUGAUAGAUAUGUUUACUACUUUGAUUGUAAGGAUGAGGUCGCAACUCUGUGCGUGUCAGUGGUAUAUUUUAAUAUGAACGGCUUAUUUUAUGUAAAUUCUACCCCUAUAAAGCUGUUUUUUUUAAAAAAAAAAACUUCUCUUUGAGAGACAUCACCUUUGUCUUUUAAACCAUCUAAUGUUGAAUCUAAAAGUUCAGUGUAAAGUUUAAUAAAAUCAGAGUGUGUAUGUGUCUUAAUUUCCAGGACAUAUAAUCAUAGUGAUUAAGCCAAAAGUGCUUAUAUGAUUACCUAUAAACUAUCAUAGUUAAAUGACUAAAUACCCUGCAUAAGGUAAAAUGAUUAUUUUAUUCCUAUAGAUUGAAAUUGCCCAACUUUUUAUUAGAGAAUAAUAGAUUAGAGGGCAUGUUGGCUCAUACCUGUAAGCCCAAUGCUUUGGGAGGCUGAAGCGGGAGGAUCCCUUGAGGCCAGGAGUUGAAGAUCAGCUUGGGCAACAUAGCAAGACCACAUCUCUACAAAAAAAUUUAAAAUAAAAUGUUUAUCCAAGCAUAGUGGCACUCACUCACCUGUAGUACUAGCUGCUGAGGAAGCUGAGGCCUGGAGUUCAAACUGCACAACGCUGCACUUCAACCUAUGUGACAAAGUGAGAUCCUAUCUCUAAAAUAAUUAAUUCAGUUUUUAUAAUUAGGGAACAUUUAAAUUCAGAUUAUAAGUAAAAAAUGGAAUAAACAGUCCUGUUACCUGAUAUGGUUUGGAUCUCCAUCCCUACCCAAAUCUUAUGUUGAAAUGUAAUCCCCAAUGCUGGAGGUGGGGCCUGGUGGGAGAUGAUUGGAUCAUGGUGGUGGUUUCUCAUGGUUUAACACCAUCGUCCCCUGGUGCUGUCGCCGUGAUGAUGAAUUCUCACGAGAUCUGGUUGGUUUAAAAGUGUGUGGCACCUCCCCCUUCUCUCUUGCUCCUGCUCCUACCAUGUGAGAUGCCUUGGUCCCCCUUUGCCUUCCGCCAUGAUUCAGAGUUCUCUGAGGCCUCCCCAGAAGCAGAUGCUGCCAUGCUUUCUGUACAGCCUGCAGAACCGUAAGCCAAUUAAACCUCUUUUCUUAUACAUUACCCAGUGUCAGAUAUUUCUUUAUAGCAGUGUGAGAAUGGAUUAAUACACUACGUCAUGCAAAAUGUAAAAACAGGCAACUCACUGAGAGUAAACCUAAUCAACUUGUUCAUUUAGAUAUAAACUGUAGAGACGACACUGCCAUCUAGUUGUUGAAUACUGAGUAUACUGUUGAAACAUUCUUGACAAUGUUCUAUUUCUCUUUUGUAGACUUACAAGGAACACACAGAAGCCCCUAACCAAUUACAUCUCCUUCCUAGGAGUGUGAAUGUGACUGCCAUAGUGCAGCCCAUGCUGCCCCUGGUAAUUAUAUGCCUCAACCCAAGCAGGUGAUUAUGUAUCCUGUGACUACCUCAUGCUCAAGGCUCUUCCAUAUUACACAAACACACACACUCAUACUCAAAAGCAAAACAAAAAUAAAACAAUCUGCUUGAUCCCUGCCCUAUAGAGAUUAGUCUAGUCAGGGAAACAUACAACUAAGCAUUCGAAUACAGUGUAGUGGGUGCUACGAGAGCAGAAGUACAGAAAAUAUGUAAGCUCCAACAAGCACCAGCAGGAGUUAAAGGUUUAGGGAAAAUUAGUGGGAAGUUUAUCUAAAAUGAAAGCAGUGGAUAAGAGGAGAUGAGAUUCUGCAGUGUCCUGUAAGCUAUUUUAUUCUAGAAGCAGUGGAAAGCUUUGAACUUUUUGAAAGACCUUAAGCAAGGAAAGGAAGUAAUUAGAUUUGUAUGUCAGAAAUAAUAUUCUGGUUUUAGUAUACAGAAUGGAUUAAAAGGAGGUAAGAUUAGAGGCAGGGAGAGCUUGUUAAUUUAAGCAAGAGUAAUUUAAGCAAGAGAUGAUGGUACUAAGCUAGGAUUAUAAACAUGGAAAUGGAGAGAAGUUGGAGGGUUUGAAAGAUGUUCUGCAGAUAUAAUAAAUAUGACUUGCUGAAAGCCAACUGUGGAGAAUUAGGAAGAUGGAAACACCAAAGAUGACUUCCAUGUUUCUGACUUCACAACUGAGUGCAUGGUGGUGUCCAAAAAGUGGAGGAGCAGGUUUUGAGAUAAUAAAAUUCAUUUUUACUCCUAUUGAGCUGGAGGCACUCACGGUGUAUCUAAGAACAAACAUCUAUUUGACAACUGAAUAUAUGGUGUGAUGCUCACUAUAGAGAUCUGGACGCUUCAGCACAUACAUUAUCGCUGACACACUGGGGUAGACAUAAGGCACGCUGAGUCUAUUUCAGGAAAUGUGCCUAGACUUAAAAUAGAUAUGCACAUAGAGUGGAAGGAAGAAGAGUAGAGAAAAUUGAGAAGGAAUAGUUAAGGAGGCUCCCUACCUUCUCACUCCACCUCAGGCCGGCAAGCAGAACUUACUGUUACCCCCUUGGGCUCCCACUGUUUUCCAUCUAUGCAUCUACCAAGGCAUCUGUUAUGUCAUUGAAUAUACUUAUCUUUCUCUCUCCUUCUACUAAAUUAUAAGGAUCUUAGGGCAAGGAUCAUGUCAUAUUCAUAUUUGGAUUCCCAGGACUUAACAACAGUGCUUGGCAGAUAGUUUUUCUUACGACUUUUAUUUAAUAACUAAUGAUAGAAAAAAUUCAUUGAGUACUUUCUGUGUUCUAGGCACUUUAUAUACAAGGUCUGUUAUACUUGGGAUAUAUUAAGACUCAGAAAAUUUAAAUGACUUGUCCAAGAAGCUUCCAGGAUUCAGACCUGGCUCUGUAUGAGUCCAUGCUUUUUUUUCUACUGUAUCAUACUGUCUACAACAGACUGGUGAAUGAAAUCUAUCUUUAACAAAAGAGGAAAAAAGGAAUUGCAUCUUAUAUAAGGCACAGAUACUGAUUCUUAUGCUAAACACAGUGAAGUCCUGUAGAGAAAAUCCUUGGGUUCUGUCUCCUGGGGUUACAUGCCAUGUAUGCCAGAAAGUAUAGCAAGUAAAUGGCUGCAUGUCCUAAACCAUAAGGAAGUUCAUACAGACUAAGCAAAAUGCAACUAGUUACCAUUUUGCACAGCAGCUCUUGGAAGGAUCCAGCAGUUACCACUACACCAUGGAUCUAAGACACCCUCACAAAGAUAGGCCAAACACGGCCUGCGACCUUCACCUUGUAAGUUUUGCUCAAAAUAACUUGGCCAAAAGCUGAGAAACUUUAGUACCAUCUAAACUUUUCAUUCCAAUUAUGCUUGGUCACUGCUCAGAAGGCAGCUCCCUCUCAUCCAUCAGCUUCCUCUCAAUUCUUGUCUCCAAACUGUGUACUGGAUAGCAUCCUGUCAACACACAAUGCCCUCCCUCCAACCUUUCAAGUAUGGGCUUUGGCAACCUAUUCCACUAUAAAUAAAUCCACCUAUACACUCAGCGCUUAUAAAACCUUUAAUUCCUUUGAAGUUCAUUCCAUUCAAUUUUGUCACCCUUCACCUUGCUUUGUCCCUAAUACCUACAUCAUGUUAUUCCUUUAAACCCCAAAUUCAUUUAAUCAUUUCCUAGGAGAUUUCAACAUUCAUGUGGAAUGUCGGUUGAACAUCCAACCAUCACAGUUCCAACGCCAGUUCAACCUCAUUCCCUUGGUCACACUCCCCACUUUGUUAUGGAGCGGUUCUGGUGAUUUUCAUACCCUUAUGCUUCCAUUCAUAUUACCCACAGUGCACCUGAUCAUUAACCUCAUUGAGACCUCCAUUCCUAUAAUGCCACCUCUUCUUCCAGUUUAUUCUUGAUCCCGCUUCCUUCUGUAUCUGGCCUCAAUCUCUUAAAUUGGUCAUAUGACCUGCUCUAGUGCUUUUCUUUUUCUUUUUUUUCUUUUUUUUUGAGACAAGGUCUUGCUCUGUCGUCCAAGCUGGAGUGCAGUGGCCCGAUCUUGGCUCACUGCAACCUUCACUUCCGGGGUUCAAGCCAUCCUCCCAUCUCAGCCUCCUGAGUAGCUGGGACUACAGGAGCUCACCACCACACUUGGCAAAUUUUUGUGUUUUUUGUAGAGAUGGAGUGUUGUCCAGGCUGGUCUCAAACUCUUGAGCUCAAGCAAUCCUCUUGCCUCAGCCUUCCAAAGUGUUGGGAUUACAGGCAUAAGCCACCAAGGCUGGCCUCGUCAGUGCUUUCAAUUACCCUCCAUAUUUUUCCAUCCCUGGGUUAUCUCUUCCAACUCACAUUUCUAUAUCCUGCCUGGCACAAAUGCUCUCAAUUCUCUUCUAUCCUUAUCUUUCUCCUAUAUCCAUUAUCCAAAUCACAAUUCUGGAUCAGUCCUAUAAUCUACCUGGCCCUGUAAGCCAUUCAGAUGAGAUGCUAGAAACAAUCACAAAAUCACCAUACUUUCAUGAUUUCCAAAUUCAGUUCCAUGGUUAACCCUGUUCAUUACUGUUUUUGUGUUUCAUCAGCUCUAUUCCAAACCAUCUCUAUUCUCUUCAAGCCUCUAAACUAACCUUUUGCACCCUCCUACUUCAUAAGUAAUAUCACCUAUCACUUCCUACUUCACAAAAAAUUUGGAGAACAUCUAAUAUAAAUCUCUCCUUUCACAUCUACAAACUUAUAACGAUUCCCUUCCUUCUAGUUUUGAGAAAAGGUGUGAAGGUGUGUUUUCCUUUUUUUUUUUUUUUUUGAGAUGGAGUCUCAUUGUAGUGCAGUGGCACGAUCUCGGCUCACUCCAGCCUCCACCUUCCGGGCUCAAGCAAUUCUCCUGCUUCAGCCUCCCGAGUAGAUGGGAUUACAGGCGCCUGCCACCAUGCCCGGCUAAUUUGUGUGUGUGUGGUUUCGUUUGUUUUUUUGAGAUGGAGUUUUGCUCUUGUUGCCCAGGCUGGAGUGCAAUGGUGUGAUCUUGGCUCACUGCAACCUCCGCCUCCUGGGUUCAAGCAAUUCUGCCUCAGUCUCCCAAGUGACUGGGAUUUCAGGCAUGCACCACCACGCCCGGCUAAUUUUGUAUUUUUAGUAGAGAUGGGGUUUCUCCAUGUUGGUCAGGCUGGUCUCGAACUCCUGACCACAGGUGAUGGGCCCGCCUCGGUCUCCCAAAGUGCUGGGAUUACAGGCGUGAGCCACUGUGCCCAGCCCCUAAAUCACCUAAUUCUUUAAUCUGAGCCCCAGUCUCAUUUCUCAGAUUCUGUUUAUACUAGGCUACAUAAAGCUCCUGAAUACACUAUUGUUUCACAUACCUAAAUUCAACAUUCUCUGAAGCUCUUCCUAGCCUAUCCAAACAGAGAUGAGUGCUGACUCCCAGGAGUUUAGAUAUUGCUGUUGCAUUCACUUCUUGUCUGUCUCCUUUAGGAGCUUGUGAAAAAUGUGAGAGAAAGGACAAUGUCAUGUACCCCCAGUGUGAAGUAUAGCACCUGGAGAUAGCAGGCAUUCAAUAACUACUGGAUGGAUGGAGGCAUUAUGAAGUUUGCCAAGUUUGUUAACACUACUAAAGGUUUCAAUGAAUGUAAAAACAGUGGCAGAUGGGUGGUUUUCUUGACUGUGGGAAAGGUAAAAUAGUAUAAAGUACUAGCAAGUAUAAACACAGGCAUACCUCAUUUUAUUGCAUUUUGCUUUACUGUACUUUGCAGAUACUGCAUUUUUUACAAAUUAAAGGUUUAUGGCAACCCUCCAACAAACAAGUCUGUUAAUGCCACCCCAAAGUCAUGUGCUCAUUUUGUGUCUCUGUGUCACAUUUUGGUAAUUCCUGCAAUAUUUCAAACUUUGUAUUAUUAUUAUUUCUGUUACAGUGAUCUGUGGUCAGUGAUCUUUGAUGUUACUAUUUUGACCGUUUGUGGGCACCACAAACUGUGCCCAUAUAACAUCAGCGAACUUAAUAAAUGGUGUGUGUGUUCGGACUGCUCUACCAACCGGCCAUCCCCCUAUCUUUCUCCCUCUCCUCAAACCUCCUUAUUCCCUGAGACACAAUACUGAAAUCAGGCCAAUUAAUCACCCUGCAAUGGCCUCCCAGUGUUCAAGUUAAAAGAAGACUUGUACAUCUCUCAUUGUAAAUCAAAAGCUAGAAAUGGUUAAGCUUAAUGAAGAGGCAUGUCAAAAGCCAAGACAGGCUAAAAAAGCUAGGGUCUUGUGCCAAACCAUUAAUUCUUGAAGGAAAUUAGAAGUGUUACUCCAGUAAACACCUAAGAAAACCUUAUUGCUGAUACGGAGAAAAAGUUUUAGUGGUCUGGAUAGAAAAUCAAACCAGCCACAACAUUCCCUUAGGCCAAAGCCUAAUCCAGAGCAAGGUUCUAAAUUCAAUUCUAUGAAGACUGAGAGGUAAGGAAGCUACAGAAGUUUGAAGCUAGUAGAGGUUGGUUUAUGAGGUUUAAAGAAAGAAGUCAUCUCCAUAAAUAAAAGUGCAAGGUGAAGCAGAAAGUGCUGAUGUAGAAGCUGCAGGAGUUUAUCCAGAUCCAGCUAAGACCAUUGUUAAAGGUGGCUAUACUCAGUAACAGAUUUUCAAUGUAGAUGUAACAAGCCUUUUAUUGGAAGAAGCCACCUUAGACUUUCACCGCUACAGAGAAGUCAGUGCCUGGCUUCAAAUCUUCCAAGAACCGGCUGACUUGUUAAAAGCUAAUGCUGCUGGUGACUUUAUAUUGAAGCCAAUGCUCAUUUGCCAUUCUGAAAAUCCUAGGGCCCUUAACAAUUAUGCUAAAUCUACUCUGCCUGUACUCUAUAAAUGGGACAAAGCCUGGAAGACAGCACAUCUGUUUACAGCAUGAUUUACUGAAUAUUUUAAGCCCACCAUUGAGAUCUACUGCACAAAAAGAUUCCUUUCAAAAUAUUGCUGCUCAUUAACAAUCAUCUCGUAUCCCAAGAGCUCAGACGGAGAUGGACAACGAGAUUCAUGCUGUUUUCAAGCCUGCUAACACAAUGUCCACUCUAUAGCCCAUAGACCAUGGAGCAAUUUCAACUUUCAAGUCUUAUGAUUUAAGAAAUACAUGUUGUAAGGCUAUUGCUGCCAUAAAUAGUGAUUUCUCUGAUGGAUCUGUGCAAAGUAAAUUGAAAACUUUCUGGAAAGGAUUCACUAUUCUAGAUAUCAAUAAGAACAUUCAUGAUUCAUGGGAUGAGGGCAAAAUAUCAUUUACUGGAGUUUAGAAGUUGUUUCCUGUCCUCAGAGAUGACUUUUAAGGGUUCAAGACUUCAAUGGAGGAAGUAACUGCAGAUGUGGUAGAAAUUGCAAGAUAACUAGAAUUAGGCCAGGUGUGGUGGCUCAAGCCUAUAAUCCCAGCACUUUGGGAGGCUAAAGUGGGCAGAUCGCUUGAGGCCAGGAGUUUGAGACCAGCCUGGAGUGAAACCCUGUCUCUACAAAAAAUGCAAAAAAUUAGCCAGGCAUGGUGGCGUGUACCUGUAGUCCCAGCUACUCUAGAGGCUAAAGUGGGAGGAUCACUUGGGCCCAAGAGGUAGAGGCUGCAGUGAGCUGUGAUGGUGCCACUGCACUCCAGCCCGGGGGCAGAGCAAGACCCUAUCUCAAAAAGAAAAAAGGCCAGACGUGGUGGCUCAUGCCUGUAACUCCAGCACUUUGGGAGGCCAAGGCGGGAAGAUCAUUUGAGCUCAGAAGUUCAAGACCAACCUGGGCAACAUGGCAAAAUCCUGUCUCUACUAAAAAUACAAAAAUUAGCCAGGUGUAGUGGCACGCACCUGCAGUCUUAGUUCUUGGGAGGG